rnacentral:rRNA from 1 species
UUUUAUGGAGAGUUUGAUCCUGGCUCAGGAUGAACGCUGGCGGCGUGCCUAAUACAUGCAAGUCGAGCGAACGGACGAGAAGCUUGCUUCUCUGAUGUUAGCGGCGGACGGGUGAGUAACACGUGGAUAACCUACCUAUAAGACUGGGAUAACUUCGGGAAACCGGAGCUAAUACCGGAUAAUAUUUUGAACCGCAUGGUUCAAAAGUGAAAGACGGUCUUGCUGUCACUUAUAGAUGGAUCCGCGCUGCAUUAGCUAGUUGGUAAGGUAACGGCUUACCAAGGCAACGAUGCAUAGCCGACCUGAGAGGGUGAUCGGCCACACUGGAACUGAGACACGGUCCAGACUCCUACGGGAGGCAGCAGUAGGGAAUCUUCCGCAAUGGGCGAAAGCCU